UGUCCUUUAAAGUUGCAAGAUACUCUUUGCAAUUUCUCUUCCAAUGUCCUAUUUUCUUACAAUGGAAACAUACAACAUCAGAUUGGUCAGCUUUGCCUUUUUUGCCUUUGGGUUUGGUCACACCACCCUUGGGCGCAGUGAGCUUUUUCUUGGGUUUACUUUUACCUUUACCCUUCUUCUUAGAAGAGUUUCCAACCAACAUGAUAGUUCCAUUCUUCUUCUCAGAUGCUAUUUGAUUCUCAUAAUCAAUCAACAUGUUAAGCAUCUCGUGAAGAUCACAAUCCAUUUUGUUCAUAUUAAAAUUAAUAACAAAUUGUGAAAAGGAUUCUGGUAGUGACUGCAAGAUAAAAACUUGAGAAAGCU
rnacentral:lncRNA from 1 species